UGUUGACGCCCCUGAGGUCUCUAUAAAAUCUUUAUAUGAUCUCCUCUCUCCCAGCCCGUCCUCCAUCCUCUGACCCCUUUGCUAGACUCUCUGUCGUUGGAGCACCAUUUGUGUCUCUGGACACUUAGCAUAGGUUCCCUGUGCUGGACAAGAAUUCUAUCAGGAUGAUAUCAUUUCCUCCCUCCUUCCCCACCCAGUUUUCAAUGAGAUUCCCAGUUCAGAGCCUUCCUCUGUUGAUUCUGAGGAAUAUCUGUUGAUUCUGGAUCCACCGGAAGCUAAGUGUGGGAGCAUUGAGGGAGGGUCCUCCUCUGUGGGAGGAUGUGGACAGGGGGACAAGCACAUGUUAACUGCCACUAGGCACCCUUCCCAUAGCCGAGUUGAGUUCUCCCGUAGGUCCCCUGUGACCAUUAUAAUACCCAUUUCACAGCUGAAGAGACUGAGGCCCAGAGAGCUUAACCUCCUAAGGCUCACACAACCAAUGAGGAAACUGAGGCAGGGGGAAGGUGAGAGACGAGGGCCCUCAACUAGGGGUGGCCGAGCUGAUUGGAAGG